rnacentral:rRNA from 1 species
AUUGAACGCUGGCGGCAGGCCUAACACAUGCAAGUCGAACGAGUGGCGGACGGGUGAGUAAUGUCUGGGAAACUGCCCGAUGGAGGGGGAUAACUAAUGGAAACGGUAGAUAAUACCGCAUACAAUCGGAUGUGCCCAGAUGGUCUGAGCUAGUGGGUGGGGUAACGGCUCACCUAGGCGACGAUCCCUAGCUGGUCUGAGAGGAUGACCAGCAACACUGGAACUUAGACACGGUCCAGACUCCUACGGGAGGCAGUAGUGGGAAAGAUGUCACAAUGGACGAAAGCCUGAUGCAGCCAUGCCGCGUGUAUGAAGAAGGUCUUCGGGUUGUAAAGUACUGUCAGCGAGGAGGCGUGACUCGCAGAAGAAGCACCGGCUAACUCCGUGCCAGCAGCCGCGGUAAUUC